rnacentral:lncRNA from 1 species
GGGGAUUCUUCUCUAAUCUUUCAGAAACUUUGUCUGCGAACACUCUUUAAUGGACCAGAUCAGGAUUUGAGCGGAAGAACGAAUGUAACUUUAAGAGGCAUUUCAUCCUUCAUGAAGCCAUUCAGGAUUUUGAAUUGCAUAUGAGUGCUUGGCUCUUCCUUCUGUUCUAACUUCACAGAGAAUGCAGUUGUCUUGACUUCAGAUGCAACCUUAAAAUCAGUGACAAGAAACAUU